AUUUAAUGGAGCUGCUUUACACUUUUUACACUGUUCAUUCACAAACACUUUAUUUAAUAAAAGUCCCAUCUAGUUUUUAUGAGGAAUGUGAUGUUUUAAUUUCUCUGUGAAUAACUGCAGUCUAAUGUAACAGCUGGAGUUGUAACAUCUGUCCUGAUAUUGAUCAUGAAAUAUUGAUCAGAAUACUUAUGGUCAGCAGUCAUCCCUGAAGUUUUACAUUAAAAUCUUUACUUGUGUUGUGAACUUUGGUAAGAAGCAGAAACGUUAGCGUUGCCAUGGAUACAUGAUUGUUAAAUUCUGUCCAUGUUUCCAUUUUGGGAAAUGCAGUCCAGUUCCAGAAUGUGGAGGAAUUUAGUCUCACAAUCACAGACAACAAAUAUUAUCUGAAAGUCAGGUUAUUGUUGUUUAUCAGCACAAUACAAAAAGUUUAAUGUUAGAAAUAUUCCAGUUAAGACUCUAGAAUAUCAUGAUUUAUGUAAAUUUACCUCAAUAAUAUGAAUGUUCAGGUUAAGAUUGUACAGUGAUGUUUAUUAUGUAAGUUUAGCUGAUUAAAGUUUGACUCUGCUCUAAAAUAUUAUUUAAAUUGACAUCAUUAUUAUAAUAUUUAGGGUCAGACCCUACAGUAUUGAGAUUAAGAAAUCAAAUAUUCUAUAAAAUGUAAAUACACUGAACUCAUUUGGAUAUAUUUAAGUGAGACUCUACAAUAUUAUUUGACACAAAUCUAUCUAAAUCAAAAUUUUAAUAAUUUUCACGCCAAUCAUUUACUGGACUGAUUUAAAUAUUAAAAUCACUCCUUUCUAAUCCUCUGCUGUACGUUCAAACCUGAGGCCUUAAAUAGAAACACACAAGUAUCUGAUUGAAGGAACUUCUGCAGAGUCCUGGUUCCAGAACAUGAUGAUAGAAUUAUAGACAAACUUUAACAAAAGCUGCCUGAGAGUUUACAGGUUUUUAUGUUGGAUUUCUUCAGUAAUUUAAUGAGAGUUAUCAGCAAUAAUCAAGUGUUCAUUUGAUGAACUUCAUUUCCUAAGACAUCCAGAAUUGGAGCUCAUAUCUUUGGCAGCUGUAAAGUUUCUGCUCCUUCAAAGUUCACAACACAAUGAAUGAAUUCCUAAAACACUCUAGAUGCUGGAGAGCGUUUGAUGCUGAAGCAGUGAUCAGUUUUUCUGUUUCUUCUCUGGAGAUGCACAAUGAGGGACGUCUGCAGCGACUGAGAAAGAGUCUCACCACAUCCUGACAUGAGGAAAAAGACUUUACUGAAGACUACAAUGAGGAAAACUAUCAGACAGCAGAUGGCUGCAUUCAAGAGAGGAAGACCAUCAAACAUCCACGUCAGCUGAUGGAGGUCCAAGAGUCUCACCAAACAAACAACCUACAGAGUGAAGACCUCAAAUCUGAUUGGACGGCCUCCUAUUCAGCCACGUGUGAACAAAUGCCUCUAAGUUGAUUUGUUUUCUAAAAUAAAUCUCGUUUGAGUCCUAAUCUAUGCCUGUGUGUUUGCUUCUUUACACCGCUGUUAACAGUUUAGGCUGUUAGAUUGUUCCAGAUAAGACAAGUACAAGAUUCUUCAGAGCCGUUCUACCACGAGCCUGACAGGAAGAACUCCAACAGCUACUGAAUGUUCCUGUGGUUCCCUCAAGGCUACAGGAGGAGCCCUACGAGGACGAGCCGGUCCACCUGAUGGCGGCCAGUCGCUGCGGUUCAAAGCCAACACCGACUACGUGGACUUCUACUGGACCACACGGAGGCCUUCAAACCGGACCAACAAGUUCAGCGACUCCCCGACUCGUGGGUCUGAGGACGCCGCCGAGCCUCGGCCCAGCCGGCCUCCUGUCUGUGGGUGUUUGAGUGCUGAGAGGUUUGUGGAUGCAUGUGAACAUGUCUGUGUUGAAACAGCAGCUUUGGACUCAGUAACGCCGGGAAAAACCAAGAGCUCCUUUAUUUGUGACUUCCAC
ensembl:lncRNA